UCUCCGUUGGUGAACCAGCGGAGGGAUCAUUACCGAGUUUCCAAAACUCCCAACCCAUGUGAACCUACCUCUCGUUGCCUCGGCGGGAUCGCCCCGGGUGCCCCAGGCCCCGGACCCAGGCGCCCGCCGCAGGACCCCAAACUCUUGUUUAGUGGAAGCUUCUUCUGAGUGAGAAAACAAAUAAAUCAAAACUUUCAACAACGGAUCUCUUGGUUCUG
rnacentral:misc_RNA from 1 species